CUUUUUUUUUUUUUUUUUUUUACAAGGAGCACAACUUCCUGAAAUUCCAGGCUGUGUCAAGUGCGACACUUCAGAUUUUUUCAGCAGCUUCAUCAUGUCACUACAGGGAUCUGCUCUGAGUUGAAGAUCAUGUUUGAGAUUGAGGCUUCAGAUGAGUAAAGCUGAGGAUUGUGACCCGGAGAGGGAGGGUAAGUAGGUGUCGGGUUAAGAGUUAUUAGGUGGGGGGGGAUUUGAAGGCAGCAGGGUGAGAAAUGGUGUCUAUUUGAGGGCACCCCAAGGUUUUUGACAAGCAUAGCAGAGGCAUUCAUGUGUCUUGUACCACCCCAGCUCACUUACUGCACUCAGAAAUGCCGUGUAACUUUGGCUCUCUCUAACCCAGGUGCUAGUCAUAACAGCUAUAGCCUCAGACUCAGGAUGAAGCUGGAGUCUUGAGGACCUAGGCAUACUUAGGAGAGGUCAAGUAGCUGACUUGCUGGGAUUUGGCCCGCAUAACACUACAGUCAUGCAUUGAUUUCGGUGUUCUUUAUUGUAGCUCACUGAGACAAUAACCAGCAAUCACGAGGCCUUCUGAGGCUGACUCAUUUCAGGUCCAACGUGGAUUCAUGUCGCCGGUCAUCCAAAAGAUAAGCUGGGGGCCACAGCCUGGAGAUGGGAUGAUCAUGUAGUAGAGGACUGUAAAUUCCUGGGACAGAUUUAAAAAUUAGCAGAGGGGAAAGGGAUAUCCUCUAAGGGGCUUUUAGGGCAGCUAAAGGAAGAGGCCCUACUUUUGAUUGCAGAUGUAGGGUGUGCAGUGCAGAGCAGUUCCAGUCUGUGUUGUGUUGUCCGGUAUACUGUGUUUCCUAGCGUGCCGUCGGGGUGCCUCAGAUCGGGUAUCUCUGCCUUUUCUCCUCGAGGGCCUUACCGCAAGCAUCAGCCACGAUCUCUAGGUUCUCGAACGCUCACGCUUCUCGGCAGUUCGUUCUUUUCCCCGCGGGCUCGGCCGUGUUUCCAUGUCGCAAUUCAGAAGCAUCGAGUCAGAUGACUUUUGAGGCCUUGCUUCCAGCAGUAUCACCAUCCAUCCUUUUCAGCCAUGAGUUGUAAUGUCCUGGCACUUAAAAGUUUGCAGGGAUACGGAGAGCAUUCUAAAUGUAGCAUUGUCUCAUGGUCAUUUCAAUCAUUGUGACCAACAGUUCUUCUAACAGGUCACUCUGUUACAGUCUUCUCUUUUUCUCCCUAGAGCCUCUGCCAUUCACUGUUGCCAUAGCAUCGGGCAUCUCUUUUGGCAUCAUCUCAGUCCUUGCCAUUAUUCUUCUUGCCAGGAAGAUUUUUAUUGUCCUUCUGUCACAAUCUUGUUAACAUAAUGUGUUGCGUGUCUUUACCAUCCCCUCUUUUGUCAUGUCCGGUCCUGUGUCACGGGUGUAAGCACAUAUUUGUCCUGGAGCUGUUGUGCCCUGUUGCAUAGCCUAGUGUGAUGGGGCAAGCCCCGGGGACUUGAAUUUUUGUAAUGCAGGGUGGAGUUGGACUCUAGAUGGUAUUCCUGGAUUGACAGAAGGUGUCUGGAUCUGUUAAGUUAUCCUGCAGCCAUUUGACUUUUGUCCUAACUUUCUUUCAGAUGCAGGCAGUUUAAAUCCAUGGCAGAAUGCCCCAUCCCUGGAGAAGGGGGUUCCCUGGUCAGGAAUUAAAUCCAGAUGUUGGCAGUCAAGGCAAUCCACUCGGAGUAUGCCAAGCCCCCAUCACCAACCAGCUGGUGGACCAGGUUUCCUGUGCUUGUGAGCAGUCUGGAAAUAUUUCAGGACUCUGUGAUGGAGCUUUGAAAUCUAUUAUUUCAAGGUGGCAUCUGGGCAUACCCUGUGAUGAUGGCCUCAGCCUCUGAGCAAGGCCGGAGCGUGUGGCCCAAGCACCUGGGCAUUCUUAGGAGGAUGCUAAGCAAGGGACCACAGCCCGGUGACCACAGGAAAUUCCCAGCGGGCGAGGUGACCUUCCUUCAUACCUGACGUGGAUUCUCAUCCCCAGAUGUCCAAGAGAUAAGUCGAGGGCUAUGAACCAUAGAGAGGAUGAAAGCGAAGUGCUGGGAGGGCUUUUUGAAUCAGCUUUGGUGGCAGGUAUGUGCAAGAAGUGUCCCCUUAGGCCACCUAAAGGGAAAGAGUCUCUUUUGAUCACAGUGCUGAGGUGCUCAGGGCAGAGCAGUUCUGGUGUGUGUUGUGUCACUUGUCUAUUGUGCAUUCUGUGUGUUUGGGUAUAUCAUGUCAUAUGGCUUUUACCUUGCCCCUUUGAGGGCCUGUCAGAAACCCUCCUGUCAUUCGUGGUAUCUGAUAUCUGCGUUCCUUGGACGGGCACCAGUGCAAUAGGACUCUUGAUUCUGGAGGUCAGACAGGCAUUUGAAUUGCAUCUCUCUUUAGAAGCAUCCAGUCAGAUGUCUUUUAAGGUCUUGUUCUGAGCUGUGUUCACAGCUGCACACCACAAUGGUCCGUUAUAUCAGGUCAGGACUUGUAAGAAUGUGAAGCUAGCAAGAGCCUUUUUUACAUGAGAUUCUUGGGCACUGAUCUUCGUGGUUCUCCGAAUAAAUCAUUCUGUUAGCAUCUUGUUCCUGCAGGGUUCUCUGAGCCUCAUGGGCUCUGAGCCGUCAGUCUCACCUAGGUCAUCUCGUUCUGCAAUCUCUCAGUCCUUGCAGGCAUUCUUCUGGCUGAGAGCUCUCUCUCUCUGUUGUGUCCCCUUGUUUGUCAUGUCCUGUCCUGUGUCUGCACAUAUCUGUCCUGGAGCUCCUCUGCCCUGCUGCAUAGCCUGCAAUAGAACAAGUCCUUGCAGGGUAAUGCAGGGUAUAGUUGGGCUCUAGAUUAUAUUAGUAGGUUGACAUAACAUGUUUGGUUCUGUUAAGUUGUCCUGCAGCUGUUUGACAUUAGUCCUAACUUUCUUUCAGAUUCAGAUGGUCUCAAUUCAUAGCAGACUGCUCCAUCCCCGUUCAGCAGGUUUCCUUGAGAACGUCAGUCGCUGUUUGUUUUUGCACGUGAAGCAAACACAAGUGUUACAGCACUGUUCUUUGUCCUUAUUUUUAUGAAGUUAUAUGGGAUAGCAGCAGUCAUGCUGAAGUGGGCGCGGUGAGCAUUGAGCAGCAGACAAAAGCGGUUGUUUUUGCUCAGUUUGCAAUUUCUGGUGAAACUCUAAGCAUCCACUAUUGGUUUUUUUUUGAAUUUUAGGCAGUCCUCUUGCAAUAUGUCUCUGGUCCCAGAUGUCUGAGGCCAGGUGCUGUCCACUGCCCUGGCUGUGAGAAGGAACUGAGGUGAGCGGGUGAGUCGGCAUUUAGGCAGAGUGACUCAUAGGUGACUGUUACGCAGCAGCAUGCUAAGCUUGUACUUUUUUAUUUUGCAGGUAUCUUCCGAGCAGCCUGUGGAGUCAAAUCAAGAUUUCAGAUGAGCUGGGGCAGUGGUGUGUCAGAGUUCCGGGGAUUCCUCUUUUGGAGGGUGCUAAUUGCAUUUUCUGCUUUGUCUUAGGUACCGUGAGGCAUCGCGUAGUUGAAGUUUGGAAACAGCAGCACCAAAGUGGAGGUAGAGAAUGUCUCGUCGUCCAUGUCCAACUGACAUUGGAUUCCAUCUGGUCAUCUUGCAAAAGCUAAGUGCUGGCGCCAAUAGGUGGGAGAAGGGGAAAAACUAUUACUAUCACAGGAGGCAAUUUGAUGUUAGCUUAGAGGAGAGGCCCGUAGUGGGACGGGUCCCUCGGAAGCAAAGGGAGAGGGUUUCUCCUCAGCCCCACUAGAAUCUUUGCCGGGCAGGGCAGUUCCAAUCCAUCUCCGCGUUCUCGUGAGGUUCACAUCGGCGGCCUGCUUAGACUCUUGACGUCGUCGUGGAUCUUUUCACCCGAGGAGCCCGCCUUCACGUCUGGAGCUGUAGCUACAGUCACCCGGUAGUCAUUGCUUUCUUUAGGCCUACUGUGCUUCUUAGGCUUCCUCUUAAGUGCUUUGGCACUAACAUCUUGAAAGGAGUUACAUUUCAUCAUCAUGUGCUAGUGCCCUAGGGCUUUCUUUCCUUUGGCAUCAUCAGCCCAUGGCUCAUCUUGGGCUAGGAAUGUUGGGUCCAUAAGGUGAAACUGCCAGGCAGUUUCCACUUGUGUCUGUGUUAUGGUGUCCGCGUCUGUGUUACGGUGUCUGUGUCCAUUGAUUUCUGUGUCAUAGGCCUUUGUUACAUCCCCAUGCUGAUUUCUGUGUCAUAGGCCUUUGUUACAUCCCCAUGCUUUAGCAUCAUCAUUCUGUGCCAUAUUGGCCGUCUUUUACUUGCGUACCUUCCCGGAUAUCACUUACUCCGGCAUCUUUACAUUUUUACUUUUUGGGACAGGAAGACAUACACGAGAUGUUCUCAUCCAUCUUCCUUCUCAACUUUGGUAGUGCCUUUUCAUCCCAGUGCCAUUCUCUUGGUCUUCUAUAGGGAGCAUAUUAGACCCUCAUCACGUGACUGCAGUAGUUCUGUAGCUUCCACCUUCUCCAAGGGUAUAGGGCUCAAGAAUUAAUCUUCUGGAGAGUUAUGUCAAGUUCUCACUUAUAUUGUAUCUCUGUUGGCUUAUACUGUAUGUGCUUAUAUUGUAUGUACCUAUACUCUGUGUACCUAUGUUGGCUUAUAUUGUGCGUACUCACAUUGUAUGUACCUACCUUGGCUUAUGUUGUAUGCGCCUCUGUUGUGCCAAUCAUGAUAGGAGCUGCCCUGCCCGGGCACUCAGUUAUGCUUAGGUAGAGCAGUUAUAAGACUUUGCAGUUCAUCUGUCUUCUAUGGGGUUUUGGGUACAAAAUUUUUGGGCCUGGAGUGGGACUAGUUCCUAGCUGUCAGAUAGUCAGUCGUUGACCACCUCCCAUUGUCUCGCAGGUCCCCGGGUCCCUACACAUUUUCCUGGAGUCUACCAUUUGACAUUGAGGAGCUGUAGUCAGAUGAUGUGUUGAAGGAUAUUCUUCAGCGUAGUGUUACAAGUAAGGGUGGCAGUCAGUGUGUAAGCAGAAGAGUGUGUGAGAGAGUGUGAUUGUCUGUGUCUGUGAGAGCUUGUGUGUGCUUGUCUGCAGGUCUGAGCGUAUGUUGACCGGUUCUAAUGUUGUGUGUAUGACUUUUGUCUUUCAGGUUUUUUAACUAAUUUUUAAAUUUAGAAUAAAAAAUCCCCAGCUGUCAUUUUGGUUUUUUUUUUUCUCCCCCAGAUGGGGUUUUUUUCCCUUGGUCCUGGCCAGUCUGCGAGGCGACGUUCAUCGCCAAAGUUUGGAUACGGACUGGCCCAGGACAGGGGUUUUUGUCAGGCAGGAGGAUUUUUUGGAGGCUCCCGAGAGCCAUGUUCCCGAGGAACAAUGAUUCCUGGGGUGUAACGGAGCAGUUGAGAUGAGAGCAAUGGUGAGUUUGUGUGUAAUGUGAAGGAGGUGCUUAUGGUGGGUGAGUGUUGUUUUGUGUGUGUAAUCUUUGUUCUGGGUUUCCUCUAACAAUAAAACAAAAUGUAAUGAAAAUAGAAAAAAGAUCACAUUGUGUUAAUGUGUUUGGUUUCUAUUGCCCUGUGUUGUUCUGUAUUUGCAUUUGCUGCUGCAUUUCUAUGUACUGUAUAUAUGCAUGUAUAUGGAUUGUAUCUGUGCUUGCAUUUGUAUCCAUUGUUUCCAUGUGUUUCGUUGAAAUGUAAAUAAAAAAAUUAAUUCAAUAAAUUUGAAUAAACCCUAGUAAUGAUGCCCCUGCUCCCUCACUUUCUGGCUUUGGCUCCUGUCUUUCUUUGGUGUGGUUUAGUAAUUUUUUUUCAUUGUAUUUCUUCCAUUGCUUCUCAUCUUACUUUUCUAUCUCUGACUUCAUUUCUGUCUGUCCCUAACUCUGUGUUUCUAUUUCUCACUGUUUCUAACUCUGUCUCUCUUCUUCUCUAUAUCCUUAUAUUUCUUUUUCCUUCUUCCCUCCCUCCCUCUUCCUUCUCUCCCUCCCUCCUUCUUCCUUUCCAUUUCCAGCUACUUAUUUUUCUCCCUAUAGUUGAUACUUUACUCUUUAUUUCUUUUUCUCUCUAACUCUUUGUUUUCCUCUUUUUUACUCUCACUCUUUCUUUUUCUUUUUCACUGUAACCCUUCUCAUUUUUCAUUCUCUUUCUUUUUUCACUGUUUGCCACUGUUUUCCUAGUUCUUUUUUUCCCAUCUCUCUUUUCCUCUCCAACUUCAACUUUUUUUAACCCUUUGCUUCUCUCUAUUUCUACCUUUGUUUCUAACUCGGCUUUCCUUUCUAGCUUUUAAGAAAGCAGCAGUAAAAACUUUCAGGCUCCCUGGGAGGGAAAAAAAAACAAACCAACCAAACCUUUAAAAAAUUAUUUAAAGAAAAUUACUUACUCCGCAGGAGCCUGAAAUUUUCUACUGCUGCACCAGACAUACAGUUUUUCUUCUUUUUCCUAAUAGAUAUAGGGCCCCUAAUUAGCGAUAUAGCUGGCAGGUAGCAAUAGCAAUAUGCAGCAACCAUGGCACCAGUACUCCCAUCAACCCCACCAGGCAAAUAAUGAUACAACCAAGAGUUAACCACAUUGAAACAUAAAUUUUAAGGGAUAUAGAGAUGUUAGAGGAGCUAAGAUUUUAGUUAGAGACAAGCCUUACUAGAGCUAAUUAAAAUAAAUGAGUAGGCCUUGAUAAAGUUAGGAGUUAGUAGUUAACUGAUUGCUUGUCAGCACAAUGUUUAGUUAGCUGGGUUUAUAAUGAAGAAUAUAGAAACUGACAAAUAGCUUUUAGGAACGUAAGACAAUUGUGGGCCUCCUCUGUUCUGAAAUCAAAUGAAGACAAGGAAUGGGAGUUCUAACAAGAGUUCAUUUGUCAUAUUUGCAUUGAAAUGGUAGAAAGGCCAGAACGAGGAAGACUUCAUUUACUUCCACAUUUUGGGAGUCAUCCCCACAAAAGGGACCACUGACCCAUUUCAGGAAAAAAACUUCAUGCUUAAUAGCUUUUGAAAUGAUUAAUAUAUGAAGCAAGGAAUGUGAUGUACCAAAAUGAAUAUGUAUUUGUAUUUUCGGUAUUCAGUACUUGUAUGGACAAAAGGGCUCUUUAAUCACUUGGAAAGUGCGGUGUGUACUUGGGAACUAUCCCACAUGCUGCUGGGUGUCGAAUAAACAUACACUUUCUAACUUC
rnacentral:lncRNA from 1 species